UACGAAGGGGGCUAGCGUUGCUCGGAAUUACUGGGCGUAAAGCGCACGUAGGCGGUCUUUUAAGUCAGGGGUGAAAUCCUGGAGCUCAACUCCAGAACUGCCUUUGAUACUGAGGAUCUUGAGUUCGGGAGAGGUGAGUGGAACUGCGAGUGUAGAGGUGAAAAUUCGUAGAUAUUCGCAAGAACACCAGUGGCGAAGGCGGCUCACUGGCCCGAUACUGACGCUGAGGCACGAAAGCGUGGGGAGCAAACAGG
rnacentral:rRNA from 1 species